AAUAAUCUAAGGUGUAACCUGCCCGGUGGUUCUAAAAUAAGUUUGUAGUGAAAAUAUAAUAGAACUAAAAGGACGCGGUAACCUUGACCGUGAUAAUGUAGCAUAAUCACUCGCCAUUUAAUUGGUGGAUAGUAUGAAUGGUUGAACGAAUAUCUCACUGUCUUAAAGAAAACUAAAAGAAAUUGACAUAAUAGUUAAGAUGCUAUUUUAAACUGUAAGACGAAAAGACCCUAUAGAGCUUAACUAUAAUCUCUAUUAAUAAAAUAAAUUACUAAUUUAUAAUUUAUAGAGGUUGGUAGUUUAGUUGGGGCGACUAUCUUUUAAAUACAACAAAGAUAAGCAAUAUUAAUAAAUAAUUUAUUGUAUAAUUAAUUUAUUUAACAAUUAUAAAAAUAGGCUAUAAUGACCCGUUAAUACUUCAUAAACAAAUUAACGAUCAAUUGAUAAAAGCUACCUUAGGGAUAACAGGAUAAUUUCAUUUUAGAGCUC
rnacentral:rRNA from 1 species